AAGGUGGAUUUACUAGUAUUUUAAUUGUAUUAUGAUUUGGAGAAAAAGAGAUGAUAUGUGUACAUAUUGCCCGUCGCUCUCAUUAUUAUAAUGAGAUAAGUCGUAACAUAGUUGGUUCACUGGAAAGUGGAUCUUUUGUAAAU
rnacentral:rRNA from 1 species